rnacentral:rRNA from 1 species
CCUCAUGGCCUUUAUGCCCAGGGCUACACACGUGCUACAAUGGGUGGUACAAAGAGAUGCAAGUCUCGCAAGAGCAAGCAAACCUCAAAAGCCAUCCUCAGUUCGGAUUGGAGUCUGCAACUCGACUCCAUGAAGUCGGAAUCGCUAGUAAUCGCGGAUCAGCACGCCGCGGUGAAUACGUUCCCGGGCCUU